rnacentral:rRNA from 1 species
GACGAACCGUGCGAACGUUGUUCGGAUUCACUGGGCUUAAAGGGCGCGUAGGCGGCGGCUCAAGUCGGGGGUGAAAUCCUCUCGCUUAACGAGAGAAUUGCUUUCGAUACUGGGUCGCUGGAGGGAGAUAGGGGUGCGCGGAACUUCCGGUGGAGCGGUGAAAUGCGUAGAUAUCGGAAGGAACGCCGGUGGCGAAAGCGGCGCACUGGAUCUCUUCUGACGCUGAGGCGCGAAAGCGUGGGGAGCGAACAGG